rnacentral:hammerhead_ribozyme from 1 species
AUCCAGAUGACGAGUCCCAAAUAGGACGAAACGCGCGGCAAACCGGAU